rnacentral:rRNA from 1 species
AUACGUAGGGGGCGAGCGUUGUCCGGAAUGAUUGGGCGUAAAGGGCGCGUAGGCGGCUUUGCAAGUCAGUAGUGGAAGUCCAUUUUUCAAGGAUGGAAGAGCUACAGAAACUGCGGAGCUUGCGUGCAGGAGAGGUUAUCGGAAUUCCCGGUGUAGCGGUGAAAUGCGUAGAGAUCGGGAGGAACACCAGUGGCGAAGGCGGGUAACUGGACUGCAACUGUCGCUGAGUCGCGAAAGUGUGGUGAGCAAACAGGAUUAGAUACCCGGGUAGUCCACACUGUAAACGAAGAAUGCUAUGUGUAGGAGGUAUCUACUCCUUCUGUGCCGCAGUAAACACAGUAAGCAUUCCGCCUGGGGAGUACGGUCGCAAGAUUAAAACUCAAAUGAAUUGACGGGG